GGUCCCGCUACACCUGUGUAACCGGUGUCCUGGCCCCUCAUCCCAGGUGAGCCUGUUGCUGUGAAAUGACAGGUGAAACCGCUGAUACUGUCGGUGCGAAGGAGCUUCUCCAGGCUCUCUGACUCACAAAGACGCUCAGAAACUGUUUCGAUUGUCGUUCGACUCAUAGGCCUACCUGUUGUUUUCUUUUGCGAGGAUAGAUAUUUGAGCAGUUCGGGAGUUAGGCCUACCUGUCGGCUGUUGCGCGUCCAGGUGAGAUGACCGACGACGUGCCCUGUGGUGACUCUUGGUUCAAAGGAAGAUGCUCUGGCAAACCGACAAAACUCUUAAUCCAGUCAGUGAGCGGAGAUAACAAACGGUUUCUCAACUGCUGCUGGGAAAUCACGUGAAAGUGCGUUUGUAUUUACACAGUUGUAAAAAUCUAACAUGUAACAUUAACAUG